rnacentral:rRNA from 1 species
AGUUUGAUCCUGGCUCAGAACGAACGCUGGCGGCAGGCUUAACACAUGCAAGUCGAACGCAUCGCAAGAUGAGUGGCAGACGGGUGAGUAACGCGUGGGAAUCUACCGUGCCCUGCGGAAUAGCUCCGGGAAACUGGAAUUAAUACCGCAUACGCCCUACGGGGGAAAGAUUUAUCGGGGUAUGAUGAGCCCGCGUUGGAUUAGCUAGUUGGUGGGGUAAAGGCCUACCAAGGCGACGAUCCAUAGCUGGUCUGAGAGGAUGAUCAGCCACAUUGGGACUGAGACACGGCCCAAACUCCUACGGGAGGCAGCAGUGGGGAAUAUUGGACAAUGGGCGCAAGCCUGAUCCAGCCAUGCCGCGUGAGUGAUGAAGGCCUUAGGGUUGUAAAGCUCUUUCACCGAUGAAGAUAAUGACGGUAGUCGGAGAAGAAGCCCCGGCUAACUUCGUGCCAGCAGCCGCGGUAA